GCGUGAGUGAUGAAGGCCUUCGGGUUGUAAAGCUCUUUCGCACGCGACGAUAAUGACGGUAGCGUGAGAAGAAGCCCCGGCUAACUUCGUGCCAGCAGCCGCGGUAAUACGAAGGGGGCUAGCGUUGUUCGGAAUAACUGGGCGUAAAGGGUGCGUAGGCGGAUCUUUAAGUCAGGGGUGAAAUCCCGAGGCUCAACCUCGGAACUGCCUUUGAUACUGGAGAUCUUGAGUCCGGGAGAGGUGAGUGGAACUGCGAGUGUAGAGGUGAAAUUCGU
rnacentral:rRNA from 1 species